rnacentral:rRNA from 1 species
GACGAACGCUGGCGGCGUGCUUAACACAUGCAAGUCGAACGGAAAGGCCCUGCUUUUGUGGGGUGCUCGAGUGGCGAACGGGUGAGUAACACGUGAGUAACCUGCCCUUGACUUUGGGAUAACUUCAGGAAACUGGGGCUAAUACCGGAUAGGAGCUCCUGCUGCAUGGUGGGGGUUGGAAAGUUUCGGCGGUUGGGGAUGGACUCGCGGCUUAUCAGCUUGUUGGUGGGGUAGUGGCUUACCAAGGCUUUGACGGGUAGCCGGCCUGAGAGGGUUACCGGACAAAUUGGGACGGAGAUACGGCCCAGAAUGCAACGGGAGGCAGCAGUGGGGAAUAUUGAAGAAUGGGAGGAAGCCUGAUGCAGAAACGCCGCGUGCGGGAUGACGGCCUUCGGGUUGUAAACAGAUUUCGCCUGUGACGAAGCGUGAGUGACGGUAAUGGGUAAAGAAGCACCGGCUAACUACGUG